CUUGGCUGGCUGUAGCAGCAGCAGAGGAGCCUGCAAACUGUUGGUGGUUCUUGGGAGAUGGUUUGAAAACUGCUGACCCUGCAGCCCACGCGGGAAUCCUGUUGUAGGGUAGAGGAAUGCGCUUUUCUGUUACAUCUCAUGGCCGUUUUCUUCACUGUCACUGAACUAUUUAUCUGCUCUUUUAAGGAAACUCACCUCAGUUCCAAUCUGCCAGUAUGGCUGGAAUUGCAGUUCCAAUUGUUAUUGUCAUCGUCGUCGUUGUCGUCAUUGCUCUGUGCUACGUGCACCGGCAAAAACACAAAAAAGCCUUGCAGAAGUACACUCCAGGACCUGCUGGUGACGAAGAGGCUGAUGCAGAAAAAAACACGGUUUACGCCCAAGUCGGUAAUUUGCCACUGCCUUACAGUAGAACAGGGACUCCGAAAGGGGGGCUGGAGACCAAGGAGGACGAGACAAAAACGAUCUAUGCCACGGUCCAGAACCCAAACCAGUCGCCUCCGCAAACGGAUGAUGAGAAGCUGGGCAGGGAUGGCCUGGAGUCCAUGAAGAAGGGCGAGAAAACCAUUUAUGCCACAGUCAACCAGCCAACCCAGACAAAGACCACCAAGUCCACAGAUGCUGAUGAAUCUGCAGCCACUCCAAAACCCCAAAGGACGACAGAAUAUGACAAGAUCAUCUAAUAGCUUGUCAAGGCAACACAAACAUGUGGCGAGAAACAAGGGAUAAUUCAGUACCCCAGCAUCAGACACCCAAACAGCAGAGGAUCAAUGCAUAUGAUUUGUACAGCACCUUGCACAAUAGGGUCCCAGUCCCUGACUGGGCUCCCAUCUGCUACUGCAAUUGUAAUGUAGACAGACCCUGGUCCUUGGCGGGCAGGCUGUCAGCACAAACUCUUCCUACACAAGGAGCUGAUUUGUGCAACUGCUCAACAAAGAGGUGUUUUCCCCAGAUAUGCACUAUG
rnacentral:lncRNA from 1 species